rnacentral:rRNA from 1 species
AUAGGAGGUCCCGCCUGCCCUGGUGACGAAAGUUUAACGGCCGCGGUAUUUUGACCGUGCGAAGGUAGCGUAAUCACUUGUCUUUUAAAUGGAGACCUGUAUGAAUGGCAUAACGAGGGCUAAGCUGUCUCCCUUAUCUGGUCAAUGAAAUUGAUCUGCCCGUGCAGAAGCGGGCAUACCACCAUAAGACGAGAAGACCCUAUGGAGCUUUAGACACUAGGACAGCCCGCGUAACAGCCCUCUGCACCCCCAGAAUGAACCCACACGGCCCCCUGUCCCCAUGUCUUCGGUUGGGGCGACCGCGGAGGAGAACAGACCCCCCCGCAUGGAACGGAGAACAGACCCCCCCGCAUGGAACGAGUUUKAACCCGAGAUGAGGCCUACAGGCCCAAUCGACAGAACUUCUGGCCACCAAGACCCGGCUAUUUAGCGCCGAUCAAUGGACCCAGUUACCCUAGGGAUAACAGCGCAAUCUCCUUUUAGAGCCCAAAUCGACAAGGGGGUUUACGACCUCGAUGUUGGAUCAGGACUUCCUAAUGGUGCAGCCGCUAUUAAGGGUUCGUUUGUUCAACGAUUAAAGUCC